rnacentral:rRNA from 1 species
GAGUUUGAUCCUGGCUCAGGACGAACGCUGGCGGCGUGCCUAAUACAUGCAAGUCGAGCGGACGAUUAAAAGCUUGCUUUUGAUCGUUAGCGGCGGACGGGUGAGUAACACGUGGGCAACCUGCCUGUAAGACUGGGAUAACUUCGGGAAACCGGAGCUAAUACCGGAUAAUCCUUUUCCUCACAUGAGGGAAAGCUGAAAGACGGUUUCGGCUGUCACUUACAGAUGGGCCCGCGGCGCAUUAGCUAGUUGGUGAGGUAACGGCUCACCAAGGCGACGAUGCGUAGCCGACCUGAGAGGGUGAUCGGCCACACUGGGACUGAGACACGGCCCAGACUCCUACGGGAGGCAGCAGUAGGGAAUCUUCCGCAAUGGACGAAAGUCUGACGGAGCAACGCCGCGUGAGCGAAGAAGGCCUUCGGGUCGUAAAGCUCUGUUGUUAGGGAAGAACAAGUAUCGGAGUAACUGCCGGUACCUUGACGGUACCUAACCAGAAAGCCACGGCUAACUACGUGCCAGCAGCCGCGGUAAUACGUAGGUGGCAAGCGUUGUCCGGAAUUAUUGGGCGUAAAGCGCGCGCAGGUGGUUCCUUAAGUCUGAUGUGAAAGCCCACGGCUCAACCGUGGAGGGUCAUUGGAAACUGGGGAACUUGAGUGCAGAAGAGGAAAGUGGAAUUCCACGUGUAGCGGUGAAAUGCGUAGAGAUGUGGAGGAACACCAGUGGCGAAGGCGACUUUCUGGUCUGUAACUGACACUGAGGCGCGAAAGCGUGGGGAGCGAACAGGAUUAGAUACCCUGGUAGUCCACGCCGUAAACGAUGAGUGCUAAGUGGUUAGGGGGUUUCCGCCCCUUAGUGCUGCAGCUAACGCAUUAAGCACUCCGC